GACGAACGCUGGCGGCGUGCUUAACACAUGCCAGUCGAACGGAAAGGCCCUGCUUGCAGGGUACUCGAGUGGCGAACGGGGGAGUAACACGUGGGUGAUCUGCCCUGCACUUCGGGAUAAGCCUGGGAAACUGGGGCUAAUACCGGGUAGGAGCCAUUUUUAGUGUGAUGGUUGGAAAGUUUUUUCGGUGUAGGAUGAGCUCGCGGCCUAUCAGCUUGUUGGUGGGGUAAUGGCCUACCAAGGCGGCGACGGGUAGCCGGCCUGAGAGGGUGGACGGCCCCAUUGGGACUGGGAUACGGCCCAGACUCCUACGGGAGGCAGAAGGGGGGAAUAUUGCCCAAUGGGCGCAAGCCUGAUGCAGCGACGCCGCGUGGGGGAUGACGGCCUUCGGGUUGUAAACUCCUUUCGCUAGGGACGAAGCUUUUUGUGACGGUACCUAGAUAAGAAGCACCGGCUAACUACGUG
rnacentral:rRNA from 1 species